rnacentral:rRNA from 1 species
UACGGAGGAUGCGAGCGUUAUCCGGAUUUAUUGGGUUUAAAGGGUGCGUAGGCGGUUUUUUAAGUUAGUGGUUAAACGUCGGGGCUUCACCUUGAUUUGCCAUUAAUACUGUAAGACUCGAGUUCAGACGAGGUAGGCGGAAUAAGUUAAGUAGCGGUGAAAUGCUUAGAUAUCGCGCAGAACCCCGAUUGCGAAGGCAGCGUACCGGCUCCACACUGACGCUGAGGCACGAAAGCGUGGGUAUCGAACAGG